rnacentral:rRNA from 1 species
GAUGAACGCUGACAGAAUGCUUAACACAUGCAAGUCAACUUGAACUUCGGUUUGGGUGGCGGACGGGUGAGUAACGCGUAAAGAACUUGCCUCACAGAUAGGGACAACAUUUGGAAACGAAUGCUAAUACCUGAUAUUAUGAUUAUAUGGCAUCGUAUAAUUAUGAAAGCUAUAUGCGCUGUGAGAGAGCUUUGCGUCCCAUUAGCUAGUUGGAGAGGUAACGGCUCACCAAGGCGAUGAUGGGUAGCCGGCCUGAGAGGGUGAUCGGCCACAAGGGGACUGGGACACGGCCCUUACUCCUACGGGAGGCAGCAGUGGGGAAUAUUGGACAAUGGACCAAGAGUCUGAUCCAGCAAUUCUGUGUGCACGAUGAAGUUUUUCGGAAUGUAAAGUGCUUUCAGUUGGGAAGAAAAAAAUGACGGUACCAACAGAAGAAGAGACGGCUAAAUACGUG